CUAUGUCUCAGAUUUGAUUAUCAAAAACAGGGCAUGGACACACAGCAAGGACAGAGUAUAAAGCUGCCAAUCUAAAGACAUCCGACCACAGCAUGGACACCACCAUGAUUACCAGCAUGAUUGUAUCCUAAUUUCCCCCUUAUUGGUGAAUCCUUUCUUAUCCAUCUUCAUGUAAUCCAAACAUAGAUGUGCAAAGGGGUUAUUAAAAAAAAAAAAAUUUCAAAGG
rnacentral:misc_RNA from 1 species